GUUUGCGGAAGACAGUAAAGACAGAAUGUCUGAACGUCAUCAAACUAUCGGGGCAGAAAUUGACACCACGAGUGAAAUAAUGCGGACGGAAAAAAACACGUGUCCACCCUGCGUAGCCUGGAGUUUACUGGAGCUUCGAGAAAGACCCCCGAGUGGAGCGCAAAUUGGUUGACGCGCAAUCAAAAGCAUACGUCGCCCGUGCCUACUGCGCUCUACCAUGCCUUGCCUGCUGCACACGACACUACACUCUCGUUGCGCUACUAGAAGCCAAAAGCAUUGCGCUCAGCCACCUCACAGCCUACUGCGCGCUGCUGCGUUUUGAUGCUCUCUGAACGAGUCCGUGUGAACAACCGCUGAAUAGCUAUAAAAGUGUCACACCUCGAUUGGGACGGCAUCAUUCGAAUAGUUGCAGUUUUGUGUGAGUUAAGCUCUACCUACAUUGUAGAUAACAAGUCAGUCGGACGGCAGUGAUAACCGAGAGUGCAUUUCGAGCCAAGCCAGAUUCCUAACAUUGAAAAAAUAAAAAUGCCGUGCAAGUGCUGUGGAAAUGAUUGCAAGUGCACCUCCGGUUGCGGACAGGGCAAACCAUGCGACGCCGGAUGCAACUGCAAUUGUGCCAGCAAAAAGGAAACCGGAAAAGAUUGCUGCGAGACGGGAAGCUGCAAGAAGUAAACCCUUCAGGUUAUCGCUUAGAAUAAGUCUGAUUCAUGCAAAAAUUUUAUAUUUAACUCCUAAAUUAGCAUCGGUCAUAAUAGAAUAAUGAUAGAAAAUUAA